rnacentral:rRNA from 1 species
GACGAACGCUGGCGGCGUGCUUAACACAUGCAAGUCGAACGGAAAGGCCCUGCUUUUGUGGGGUGCUCGAGUGGCGAACGGGUGAGUGACACGUGAGUAACCUGCCCUUGACUUUGGGAUAACUUCAGGAAACUGGGGCUAAUACCGGAUAGGAGCUCCUGCUGCAUGGUGGGGGUUGGAAAGUUUCGGCGGUUGGGGAUGGACUCGCGGCUUAUCAGCUUGUUGGUGGGGUAGUGGCUUACCAAGGCUUUGACGGGUAGCCGGCCUGAGAGGGUGACCGGCCACAUUGGGACUGAGAUACGGCCCAGACUCCUACGGGAGGCAGCAGUGGGGAAUAUUGCACAAUGGGCGGAAGCCUGAUGCAGCAACGCCGCGUGCGGGAUGACGGCCUUCGGGUUGUAAACCGCUUUCGCCUGUGACGAAGCGUGAGUGACGGUAAUGGGUAAAGAAGCACCGGCUAACUACGUGCCAGCAGCCGCGGUGAUACGUAGGGUGCGAGCGUUGUCCGGAUUUAUUGGGCGUAAAGGGCUCGUAGGUGGUUGAUCGCGUCGGAAGUGUAAUCUUGGGGCUUAACCCUGAGCGUGCUUUCGAUACGGGUUGACUUGAGGAAGGUAGGGGAGAAUGGAAUUCCUGGUGGAGCGGUGGAAUGCGCAGAUAUCAGGAGGAACACCAGUGGCGAAGGCGGUUCUCUGGGCCUUUCCUGACGCUGAGGAGCGAAAGCGUGGGGAGCGAACAGGCUUAGAUACCCUGGUAGUCCACGCCGUAAACGGUGGGUACUAGGUGUGGGGUCCAUUCCACGGGUUCCGUGCCGUAGCUAACGCUUUAAGUACCCCGCCUGGGGAGUACGGCCGCAAGGCUAAAACUCAAAGGAAUUGACGGGGCCCCGCACAAGCGGCGGAGCAUGCGGAUUAAUUCGAUGCAACGCGUAGAACCUUACCUGGGUUUGACAUGGAUCGGGAGCGCUCAGAGAUGGGUGUGCCUCUUUUGGGGUCGGUUCACAGGUGGUGCAUGGCUGUCGUCAGCUCGUGUCGUGAGAUGUUGGGUUAAGUCCCGCAACGGGCGCAACCCUUGUUCACUGUUGCCAGCACGUUAUGGUGGGGACUCAGUGGAGACCGCCGGGGUCAACUCGGAGGAAGGUGGGGAUGACGUCAAGUCAUCAUGCCCCUUAUGUCCAGGGCUUCACGCAUGCUACAAUGGCUGGUACAGAGAGUGGCGAGCCUGUGAGGGUGAGCGAAUCUCGGAAAGCCGGUCUCAGUUCGGAUUGGGGUCUGCAACUCGACCUCAUGAAGUCGGAGUCGCUAGUAAUCGCAGAUCAGCAACGCUGCGGUGAAUACGUUCCCGGG